GUGUUGUCUAGGCAAUACAUGUAUUAAAUUUGGAACGAUACAGAGAAGAUUAGCAUGUCCCUGCGUAAGGAUGACUCGCAUAAUCGUGAAGCGUCUCCAAUUUUU